rnacentral:rRNA from 1 species
GAUGAACGCUGGCGGCGUGCCUAAUACAUGCAAGUCGAGCGAACAGACGAGGAGCUUGCUCCUCUGACGUUAGCGGCGGACGGGUGAGUAACACGUGGAUAACCUACCUAUAAGACUGGGAUAACUUCGGGAAACCGGAGCUAAUACCGGAUAAUAUAUUGAACCGCAUGGUUCAAUAGUGAAAGACGGUUUUGCUGUCACUUAUAGAUGGAUCCGCGCCGCAUUAGCUAGUUGGUAAGGUAACGGCUUACCAAGGCAACGAUGCGUAGCCGACCUGAGAGGGUGAUCGGCCACACUGGAACUGAGACACGGUCCAGACUCCUACGGGAGGCAGCAGUAGGGAAUCUUCCGCAAUGGGCGAAAGCUUGACGGAGCAACGCCGCGUGAGUGAUGAAGGUCUUCGGAUCGUAAAACUCUGUUAUUAGGGAAGAACAAAUGUGUCAAUAACUAUGCACGUCUUGACGGUACCUAAUCAGAAAGCCACGGCUAACUACGUG